UACGAAGGGGGCAAGCGUUGUUCGGAAUUACUGGGCGUAAAGGGCGCGUAGGCGGCCGAUCAAGUCAGGCGUGAAAUUCCCGGGCUCAACCUGGGGGCUGCGCUUGAUACUGAUUGGCUUGAAUGCGGGAGAGGAUAGUGGAAUUCCCAGUGUAGAGGUGAAAUUCGUAGAUAUUGGGAAGAACACCAGUGGCGAAGGCGGCUAUCUGGCCCGUUAUUGACGCUGAGGCGCGAAAGCGUGGGGAGCAAACGGG
rnacentral:rRNA from 1 species